rnacentral:rRNA from 1 species
UUACGGCCUGGGCUACACACGUGCUACAAUGGUCGGUACAAAGGGUUGCCAAGCCGCGAGGUGGAGCUAAUCCCAUAAAACCGAAUCGUAGUCCGGAUCGCAGUCUGCAACUCGACUGCGUGAAGUCGGAAUCGCUAGUAAUCGUGAAUCAGAAUGUCACGGUGAAUACGUUCCCGGGCCUU